ensembl:snoRNA small nucleolar RNA SNORD10
GUAUAAUGAUGAAAUCCAUGCGUGUCAACUGAAUCUGGAACACCCUGAGUUCUAGUUCCACCCGUCGGCGUUCUGUGGGCUGGUGUGUUCUGAAACUCCAGGGCUCCGGAACUCAUGAUCAGAGUUCACUAUGGCUGAAUAC